rnacentral:lncRNA from 1 species
GCUGCAUACAUAUCAGAAGAUGACCUAGUUUGCCAUCAGUGGAAAGAGAGGUCCAUUGGUGGUGCAAACUUUAUAUGCCUCAGUACAGGGGAACGCCAGGGCCAAGAAGUGGGAGUGGGUGGGUGGGGGACUUUUGGGAUAGCAUUGGAAAUGUAAAUGAAAUAAAUACCUAAUAUAAAUAAAUAAAUAAAUAAAUAAAUAAAUAAAUAAAUAAAAUAGACCAACAUGUGUUCUUUCUUUGAGGAAAAAAAAAAAGAAGUUCAAAUCCCUAAAGAAAGAAAUUGAAGAAGACUUCAGAAGAUGAAAAGAUCUCCCAUGCUCCUUGUUUAGUAGGAUUAACAUAGUGAAAAUGGCCAUUUUACCAAAAGCAAUCAAUAGUUUCAGUGCAAUAAUCCUCAGGAAAAUUCCAACACAAUUCUUCACAGACAUAAAAAGAGCAAUUCUCAACUUCAUAUGGCAAAACAAAAUAUCCAGGAUAACCGAAACAGUUCUCAACAACAGUAGAUCCUCUAGGGGAUUCACCAUCCCUGACCUCAAGGUGUACUACAAAGCAAUAGUUGUUGCAGGAAAUAUUUCUUUUAAAAGGCACCAUCCCACACUAUACCCAGCUAAACUAUGCCUAGCAGGCUUGCUGCCUCUAGGCUAGGCCCAGUCAGUGGUCUUACCAGCUCAGGUUUGCCUGCCUCAGAGCUGCUUGUUCUUUCUCAGCCAUCUACCCCCUGUGGCAAGUUGUCACAAAUCCCCUUAACACAGUAAGUCAAAGCUCUAGAAGCUUGUAAUUAAUCAGUCAGGUUUAUAUAUCAAUAAAUUCUCAGUUCAUAAGGUGCUCACACUAUAAUUUCAGAACCAAUUGAUAAUAAUACAAACUGCCCACCUAUGUUAGACAAGUUAUUCCAAUUAUUCUCUCCUUUUAUGAUAUUCAUAGCUACCUGUGGCUAUUGAAAGCCAUGUAGAAUCUGGAUUGUCUUCCUCUACCUUCAUCUUCCUUUAUCUUUUUCUCUUCUGUCAUCCUCCCUUCUCUCCUCUCUUCCUUCUCCCCCAAAUUUUUCAGCUUCACCUUUUCUUCCACUGCCCAAUCACAGGCUCAAGCCUUGAUUUUAUAGGUUAUGGUGAGGAGAAGGUUCACAAGAAGUCACCUGUGUAGGUGAUUCACUCUUGUCCAUAACUCCUCCCAGGAAUGUGGAAUUAGCAUCAAAAUACAAGCAAAAUUUGGGAUAUCCACAACAAAUAGUAAUAAAGACCACAUGGUAUUGGUACACAGACAGAUUGAUCAACAGAAUAUUCAGUUUUAUAUGGAGGUCUUUGAUUCACUUUGACUUGAGCUUUGUGCGAGGUGACAAAAAUGGAUCUAUUUUUAUUUUUUUUACAUACAGACCUCCACUUAAACCAGCACCAUUUCUUGAAAAUGGUUUCUUUUUUUCUACUCCAUGUUUUUUGCCUCUUUGUCAAAGUUCAGUUAACCAUAGGUGGAUGGGUUUACUUCUGGAUGAUUGAUUCUAUUCUGUUGAUCAAUCUGUCCUUUAUCAUCUACUGAAUCUAAUAGAAGAGAAAUUGGGAAAGAGUCUUGAACUCAUUGGCAGAGGGGAAAACUUCUUGAAGAGAAAACCAAUGGCUUGGGCUCUAAGACCAAUAAUUGAUAAAUCUGACUUCAUGAAACUGAAAAAUCUUCUGUAAAACAAAAGACACCAUCAAUAGGACAAAUAGGCAACCUACAGAUUAGAAAAAAAUCUUUACUAACCCUACAUCCAAAAGAGGACUAAUAUCCAAAAUAUAUAAAGAACUCAAGAAGUUAACCUCCCAGAAAAACCAAAUAACUCAGUUAAAAAUGAUGUACAGAGCUAAACAGAGAAUUCACAACAGAAGAGUCUUGAAUGUCCAUGAAACAAUCAAAGAAAUGUUCCAAGUCCUUCAUCAUCAGAGAAAUGAAGAUUAAAAAAAAACCUGAGAUUUUUGUCAGUAUGGCUAAUAUAAAAAACAGAGGAGACAGCACAUCUUGGUGCAAAUAUGAAGAAAGAGGAACAUUCCUCCAUUGCUGGUAGGAUUGCAAACUGGUACAACCACUCAGGAAAUAAAUCUGGAUGUUCCUCAGAAAAUUGAAAAUAGUUUUUAACUGAAUAUCCAGCUAUAUCUCUCAUUGACAUUUACCCAAAAUACACUCUACCACACCACAAGGACAAGUGAUCCACUAUGUUCCUAACAACCUUGUUCUUAAAAGAUAGAAACUGGAAGCAACCGAGAUGUCUCUUAACCAAAGAAUGGACACAGAAAUUUUGGUUCAUUUACACAAUUAAAUACUAUUCAGCCAUUAAAAAUUAGUACAUCAUGAAUUUUACAGGCAAUUGGAUGGCACUAGAAAAUAUUAUCCUGAAUGAGGUAACCCAGACCCCAAAUAUCAUGCAAAGUAUGUAUUAAUUGAUAAGUGAAUAUUAGCCAAAAAGUUAUAUCCAUGAUAUAAAAAAACAGACCAAAAGAAGUUGAACAAGAAAGAAGGGCAAAAUGAGAAUGUUCCAAUCCCACAUAGAAGGGGGAACAAAAUAAUCAUGGGAGGCAGUGGGAAGGAGAGGGAAAGGGGAGGAGGAAAGGAAAUGGGGUACGAUCAUAUAUUGUGGGGAGUCAAGAGAGAAGUCCAGAGGACCAGGAGAAUGAAUAGAAAUAUGCAGCUGGAGGGUGUGGGGGUUGGUGGGUUGGUGAACCUCUAGAAAGUCCCAGAAUCCUUGUAUCUGAGAGGUAUCCCAGGUGGGAUUCAAUGUAGCUGACCUUAGCUGAAAUGCCCAACAAUGGGGAGAUGG